GCGGCGGCCGCAGCGGCGGGAGCGAGGGCGCUGGCGGAGACGCCGGCUUCUCCUCCCCUCCCCAGCGGUGUUACAGCCUGGAGGAGACACGCCCGCCGUUAGCACUUUCCGCAGAGGCUGACAGUUGGUGAACACCUGCUCUUGAUCGUAAGAUUUAGAAGACGGUCUCCACCUUCCAGAUUGGAUCUCUCUUCAUGUGGAUCUUCUGUGUCUAUGUCUUUUAAAACAGAUUUGUGGGAAACAUGUUGGAUUACAACUGUUCAUCCUCAUCUAUGCAAACAAAGGAAAGCUAUUGUGCUGGGAUUUUGAGGAGGAACUUUCCCAGGGGUGGCCCUUCUUACAAGUGUAAAUAAAAGGUCUCAAGUGUGCUGCAUUAGUGUCCUCCCACGUGGCAAGUAAUACUCUGAACAGGGGAGGCAGGCUGAUCUUUUUCUAACAGGAUUCCAGUACACCUUAGAAGUGCUUGAGGACGAGUGAUAAAGGCAGGCAUGAAGCCUCCGUCUCACAGCUGCAUGUGUAGUUACUGUUGAAGCAAUCCCUGCUUAAGUUGACAAUGUUGGUGUGUUUAAAUUUUUUUGAGUUUGCAAAUAAGCAUAUUAAGUCUAGUGAUGGAGCCUUCAGGCAGUGAACAGUUACUUGAGGACCCUGAUCCUGGAGGCAGAUCCCAAGAUGCAGAGGCCGGAAAGCAGACAGAAUCAGAACAAAAGUUGUCUGAAAUGACCCACAAUGCUUUGGAGUACAUUAAUGCGAUUGGCCAAGGCUUGAAGCAUCUCUCCCAGCACCAGCGCAGGAGGUCAUCAGUGUCUCCACACGACGUGCAGCAAAUUCAGGCAGAUCCAGAACCUGAAAUGGAUCUGGAAAGCCAGAACGCAUGUGCUGAGAUUGAUGGUGUCCCCACCCGCCCCGCAGCUCUGAAUCGUGUCCUGCAGCAGAUCCGAGUGCCACCCAAGAUGAAGAGGGAGACGAGCUUGCAUAGUAGGCGGGGCAAGCCAGAGGCCCCAAAGGGAAGUCCCGAAAUCAACAGGAAAUCUGGCCAGGAGAUGGCAACUGUUACGCAGUCAGGCCAACCAGGUCUUCAUCCACUGCCGAUGCUCCCACCAGCUCCGCCGUGAUGGAAAUAGCUUGUGCCGCUGCUGCUGCCGCUGCCGCUGCGUGUCUGCCAGGGGAUGAGGCGUCUGCAGAGUGGAUAGAGCAGUUGGAAGUAGGCAGCCUCGCCCAGACUUCCAGUGCAGUGGCCUCCAGCACCGAUGGCAGCAUCCACACAGACUCUGUGGAUGGAACACCAGACCCUCAGCGCACAAAGGCUGCUAUUGCUCACUUGCAGCAGAAGAUCCUGAAGCUCACAGAGCAGAUUAAGAUCGCGCAGACAGCCCGGGACGACAACGUUGCUGAUUAUCUGAAGCUUGCCAACAGUGCAGACAAGCAGCAGGCCGCCCGUAUCAAGCAGGUCUUUGAGAAGAAGAACCAGAAAUCUGCCCAAACCACCCUCCAGCUCCAAAAGAACCUUGAGCGCUACCACAGAAAGCUCCGAGAGGUGGAGCAGAAUGGGAUCCUCUGGCAGCCAAAGGACGUCUUCAGGGACAUGCACCAGGGUCUGAAGGAUAUGGGAGCGAAGGUGACCAGCUUCAUUGAAGGUGUAGUGGACAGUGUCAAAGGUGGACUUUCCAGCUUCUCCCAGGCGACCCAUUCAGCAGCAGGGGCUGUGGUUUCAAAGCCCAGAGAGAGUGCCUCACUGAGUCGGAAUAAGUUUGGCAGUGCAGACAAUAUCCCUAACCUGAAGGGCUCUUUCGAGGAAGGACAAGUGGAUGAUGGGGGGAAGGCUUUGGGAGUGAUUUCAAACUUUCAGUCGAGCCCCAAAUAUGGUAGCGAGGAAGAUUGUUCUAGUGCCACCUCUGGCUCAGUGGGAGCCAACAGCACCAGUGCAGGCAUCGCUGGAGGAUCGUCCAGCUCCAAAACAAACACCCUGGACAUGCAGAGCUCAGGAUUCGAUGCACCGCUGCAUGAGAUCCAGGAGAUCCGGGAAACCCACGCCAGACUGGAGGAAUCUUUUGAGACCCUCAAGGAACAUUAUCAGAGUGACUAUUCAUUAAUAAUGCAGGCCUUUCAGGAGGAGCCACACAGAUGUGAACGAUUAGAAGAACAACUGAAUGACCUGACAAAGCUCCAACAGAACGAAAUCUUGAACUUGAAGGAGGAAUUGGCCAGCAUGGAAGACAAAAUUGCAUAUCAGUCCUUUGAAUGGGCCUGGGACACCCAGGAGGCCCUGGAGGGGUGCCAGACCCGCAUCUCUAAGAUGGAGCUGCAGCAGCAGCAGCAGCAGCAGCAGCAGCAGAUGUUGCAGCUGGAGGGGCUGGAGAACGCCACGGCGCGCAACCUGCUGGACAAGCUCAUCAGCAUCCUCCUGGCGCUCAUGGUUGUCCGCCUGGUCUUCAUCUCCCCAGUGGCCAACUGCGUGGUCCCGCUCAUGAAGACGCGCAACAGGACGUUCAGCACUUUAUUCCUUGUGGUCUUCAUUGCCUUUCUCUGGAAGCACUGGGACGCCCUCUUCAGCUACGUGGAGCGGUUCUUUUCCUCCCCGAGGUGAUGCUGGCCCCAGGAGGCCAUGCUCCCUACCGUCUGGCCAGUGCAUGCAGCGAGGACUCAGACAGCAGCAUACCUACUCUGAAGUUUUCUACAGCAACAAGAGAGUUGAGUGAAUUCAUUUACAUUUAGAAUAAUGUUUUUUUCUUCAAAAGACGCAAUUGCAAUAGUAUUUUUUAGAUUUUAUCCAAGAAGUUUUUUUUGGGGGCAAAAAUCUUGGAUCAUUUUUAUGUAGCAUGAUUUUCCUUGGGAUGCAGAUCGUAAACAGCCCUUAAACAUGAACCAACAAUGUGGAGCACACCGAAGGGCGUUCUGAACUGUGGCUUGACGGGCUGCACUGAAACCCGGUGAGGGAAGCCAGUUAAACCCAACACCCUGCCUUGUCUGGGCUCACCACCUCUCCCCUCCCAGACUGACUUUCCUGUGAAGUCCUACCACAUUCCAUGUCUGAAUUUCUGGAUUCAGGGUGGAUUUCCCUUGUCCGUGUACAAACACAUGGAUGUCCCUGGCUUUCUCACCCAAGUUGGCCACUCACCUAACUCUGGAAGUGUGAUCACUGUUGAACCUGGUCCCUUACCUUUGCUGGGAUACAGGAGUGAGAGCAUCAUGCCCCAGAGGAUCACUGCACAGCCCUACUACAUACAGUAUUUCGAAGUAGCCCUCUAAAUACUUAAUGUUAAGCAAACCCCAUGGCCGCACUUUUAAGGUUUUUUUUUUAAAUAUGUGUAUAGUCACCAAUUUAAAAAACAAAAAAAUCUGAACAGCAUACUUGAAGAAUGCAAACUCAGAUUCCCAGUACUCCCUUACGGUUUCUAAUAGGAUUUUUUAUUAUUGUUAUUAUUAUUACUGGGUUUUUUUGGAAAGGGUUGGGAGGGGCUUUUAUUUUUCCUUUAAAAUAAAGAAGUGAUGUUUUCAAAUGAAAAAAAAGUCUGUAU